rnacentral:rRNA from 1 species
CCUACGGGAGACAGCAGUGAGGAAUAUUGGUCAAUGGCCGGAAGGCUGAACCAGCCAUGCCGCGUGAAGGUCAGUGCCCUAUGGGCGUUAAACUUCUUUUGUGCGGGAGCAAUAAUGGUCACGUGUGGCCAGACGAGAGUACCGUAUGAAUAAGCAUCGGCUAACUCCGUGCCAGCAGCCGCGGUAAUACGGGGGAUGCAAGCGUUAUCCGGAUUUAUUGGGGUUAAAGGGUGCGUAGGCUGUGUGGUAAGUCAGCGGUGAAAUGCCCCCGCUCAACGGGGUGAAGUGCCAUUGAUACUGCCUUGCUGGAAUGCGGAUGCCGUGGGAGGAAUGUGUGGUGUAGCGGUGAAAUGCAUAGAUAUCACACAGAACACCGAUUGCGAAGGCAUCUCACGAAUCCGCGAUUGACGCUGAUGCACGAAAGCGUGGGUAUCAAACAGGAUUAGAUACCCCUGUAGUC